UACGUAGGGUGCAAGCGUUGUCCGGAAUUAUUGGGCGUAAAGAGCUCGUAGGCGGUUUGUCGCGUCGGCUGUGAAAACCUGGGGCUCAACCCCGGGCCUGCAGCCGAUACGGGCAAACUAGAAUUCGGUAGGGGAGACUGGAAUUCCUGGUGUAGCGGUGAAAUGCGCAGAUAUCAGGAGGAACACCGAUGGCGAAGGCAGGUCUCUGGGCCACUACUGACGCUCAUGCACGAAAGCGUGGGGAGCAAACAGG
rnacentral:rRNA from 1 species